AUGCACGCUGGCGGCGUGCCUAAUACAUGCACGUCGAGCGAACAGACGAGGAGCUUGCUCCUCUGACGUUAGCGGCGGACGGGUGAGUAACACGUGGAUAACCUACCUAUAGGACUGGGAUAACUUCGGGAAACCGGAGCUAAUACCGGAUAAUAUAUUGAACCGCAUGGUUCAAUAGUGAAAGACGGUUUUGCUGUCACUUAUAGAUGGAUCCGCGCCGCAUUAGCUAGUUGGUAAGGUAACGGCUUACCAAGGCAACGAUGCGUAGCCGACCUGAGAGGGUGAUCGGCCACACUGGAACUGAGACACGGUCCAGACUCCUACGGGAGGCAGCAGUAGGGAAUCUUCCGCAAUGGGCGAAAGCCUGACGGAGCAACGCCGCGUGAGUGAUGAAGGUCUUCGGAUCGUAAAACUCUGUUAUUAGGGAAGAACAAAUGUGUAAGUAACUAUGCACGUCUUGACGGUACCUAAUCAGAAAGCCACGGCUAACUACGUG
rnacentral:rRNA from 1 species